rnacentral:rRNA from 1 species
UACGUAGGGGGCGAGCGUUGUCCGGAUUUAUUGGGCGUAAAGAGCUCGUAGGCGGCUUGGCAAGUCGGGUGUGAAACCUCCAGGCUCAACCUGGAGACGCCACUCGAUACUGCUAUGGCUAGAGUCCGGUAGGGGACCACGGAAUUCCUGGUGUAGCGGUGAAAUGCGCAGAUAUCAGGAGGAACACCGGUGGCGAAGGCGGGUCUCUGGGCCGAUACUGACGCUGAGGAGCGAAAGCAUGGGUAGCGAACAGG